rnacentral:rRNA from 1 species
UUGAAAGGGAAACGAUUGAAGUCAGUCGUACCGACGAGAAAUCAGCUCUUCGAGUGCGAACUUGUGGGCGUGCGUGAGUCUUUAACGGGCCCCGCUGUUUGCAAUUUUGUGCUUUUUGGGUGUACUUUUUCGUAUGGUAGGCCAACGUCAGUUUCGAUCACCGUAAAAUGAUCGGAGGAAUGUAGCUUCGAUCUCGUAUUGAAGUGUUAUAGCCUCUGGUAGAUGCGGUGACCGAAACUGAGGAUUGCAACGAAUACCCUUCUGGGCUAUCCGUCUGGCCUCUGAAAGUUGCUUAGGUGCCGAAAGCGUGCUUACGGCUAUUUAAGUUGACGGUCAACAGGUUAGAACGUGAUUACAUUCGUUAAGGAUGUUGACGUA